rnacentral:rRNA from 1 species
GAUGAACGCUGGCGGCGUGCCUAAUACAUGCAAGUCGAGCGAACAGACGAUGAGCUUUCGCCUCUGACGUUAGCGGCGGACGGGUGAGUAACACGUGGAUAACCUACCUAUAAGACUGGGAUAACUUCGGGAAACCGGAGCUAAUACCGGAUAAUAUAUUGAACCGCAUGGUUCAAUAGUGAAAGACGGUUUUGCUGUCACUUAUAGAUGGAUCCGCGCCGCAUUAGCUAGUUGGUAAGGUAACGGCUUACCAAGGCAACGAUGCGUAGCCGACCUGAGAGGGUGAUCGGCCACACUGGAACUGAGACACGGUCCAGACUCCUACGGGAGGCAGCAGUAGGGAAUCUUCCGCAAUGGGCGAAAGCUUGACGGAGCAACGCCGCGUGAGUGAUGAAGGUCUUCGGAUCGUAAAACUCUGUUAUUAGGGAAGAACAAAUGUGUAAGUAACUAUGCACGUCUUGACGGUACCUAAUCAGAAAGCCACGGCUAACUACGUG